rnacentral:rRNA from 1 species
GAUGAACGCUGGCGGCGUGCCUAAUACAUGCAAGUCGAGCGAACGGACGAGAAGCUUGCUUCUCUGAUGUUAGCGGCGGACGGGUGAGUAACACGUGGAUAACCUACCUAUAAGACUGGGAUAACUUCGGGAAACCGGAGCUAAUACCGGAUAAUAUUUUGAACCGCAUGGUUCAAAAGUGAAAGACGGUCUUGCUGUCACUUAUAGAUGGAUCCGCGCUGCAUUAGCUAGUUGGUAAGGUAACGGCUUACCAAGGCAACGGUGCAUAGCCGACCUGAGAGGGUGAUCGGCCACACUGGAACUGAGACACGGUCCAGACUCCUACGGGAGGCAGCAGUAGGGAAUCUUCCGCAAUGGGCGAAAGCCUGACGGAGCAACGCCGCGUGAGUGAUGAAGGUCUUCGGAUCGUAAAACUCUGUUAUUAGGGAAGAACAUAUGUGUAAGUAACUGUGCACAUCUUGACGGUACCUAAUCAGAAAGCCACGGCUAACUACGUGCCAGCAGCCGCGGUAAUACGUAGGUGGCAAGCGUUAUCCGGAAUUAUUGGGCGUAAAGCGCGCGUAGGCGGUUUUUUAAGUCUGAUGUGAAAGCCCACGGCUCAACCGUGGAGGGUCAUUGGAAACUGGAAAACUUGAGUGCAGAAGAGGAAAGUGGAAUUCCAUGUGUAGCGGUGAAAUGCGCAGAGAUAUGGAGGAACACCAGUGGCGAAGGCGACUUUCUGGUCUGUAACUGACGCUGAUGUGCGAAAGCGUGGGGAUCAAACAGGAUUAGAUACCCUGGUAGUCCACGCCGUAAACGAUGAGUGCUAAGUGUUAGGGGGUUUCCGCCCCUUAGUGCUGCAGCUAACGCAUUAAGCACUCCGCCUGGGGAGUACGACCGCAAGGUUGAAACUCAAAGGAAUUGACGGGGACCCGCACAAGCGGUGGAGCAUGUGGUUUAAUUCGAAGCAACGCGAAGAACCUUACCAAAUCUUGACAUCCUUUGACAACUCUAGAGAUAGAGCUUUCCCCUUCGGGGGACAAAGUGACAGGUGGUGCAUGGUUGUCGUCAGCUCGUGUCGUGAGAUGUUGGGUUAAGUCCCGCAACGAGCGCAACCCUUAAGCUUAGUUGCCAUCAUUAAGUUGGGCACUCUAAGUUGACUGCCGGUGACAAACCGGAGGAAGGUGGGGAUGACGUCAAAUCAUCAUGCCCCUUAUGAUUUGGGCUACACACGUGCUACAAUGGACAAUACAAAGGGCAGCGAAACCGCGAGGUCAAGCAAAUCCCAUAAAGUUGUUCUCAGUUCGGAUUGUAGUCUGCAACUCGACUACAUGAAGCUGGAAUCGCUAGUAAUCGUAGAUCAGCAUGCUAUGGUGAAUACGUUCCCGGGUCU